AUUGAACGCUGGCGGCAGGCCUAACACAUGCAAGUCGAGCGAGCGGCGGACGGGUGAGUAAUGUAUGGGGAUCUGCCCGAUAGAGGGGGAUAACUACUGGAAACGGUGGCUAAUACCGCAUACUAGAGGAUGAACCAAGAGGGGAUUUGCUAGUAGGUGGGGUAAAGGCUCAACUAGGAGACGAUCUCUAGCGGGUCUGAGAGGAUGAUCCGCCACCAUGGGACUGAGACACGGUCCAGACUCCUACGGGAGGCAGCAGUGGGGAAUAUUGCACAAUGGGCGCAAGCCUGAUGCAGCCAUGCCGCGGUUAUGAAGAAGGCCUUAGGGUUGUAAAGUACUUUCAGCGGUGAGGCGUUACCCGCAGAAGAAGCACCGGCUAACUCCGUGCCAGCAGCCGCGGUAAUUC
rnacentral:rRNA from 1 species